GUCUAUACUCGCGUUAACAAUUAUUUCAUAUUUUCAUUAUUACUUAAUCGAUUUACUCUAGAAUUCACUUCCAUGGAAAUGUUAGUGCUAAACUUUUUUACUAUUGUCAAAACAAUACUAUAGUUAUCGUCAGGUGCUGAUGUUAUUCAGUCGCUAAAACAAGUUUCAGAAAAAAUUUUUAACUACGAUGUCUGCUAAAAGUCAUUAUAUUGUUCUCCAUGGGGGCCUUAGCUUUAAUGACAGCUAUUUAUAUGGAUAUGAUGACAAUCUCAGUGCGAUUUUACAGCAAAAUUAUCGAAAAACAUCAUCAAUUUUUCAAAACAAACAUUGUUUGGGUCUAAAGGAGCAUCCGGCAUUGGUGUUAAAUUUUCUGGCCUCUCUCAAUUAUAAAAUUGUAAGCCAGUCUAGCCCGGGAGAACGAGCCGAUCAAGUAAUUUGGACACUAGCAAGAAACUAAUUAACACUAUUGUUGUAGAAAAUAAUUACUUUACUCACUGACGUAUGAUGGCUUUACAAUUUACGCACACAAAAGAAUUUGAUAACUUACGAUACUGAA